rnacentral:rRNA from 1 species
UACGUAGGGGGCGAGCGUUGUCCGGAAUCAUUGGGCGUAAAGAGCGUGUAGGCGGCUUGGCAAGUCUGACGUGAAAGCCCGGGGCUCAACUCCGGAAUUGCCUUUAAGACUGCAUCGCUAGAAUUGUGGAGAGGUAAGUGGAAUUCCGAGUGUAGAGGUGAAAUUCGUAGAUAUUCGGAAGAACACCAGUGGCGAAGGCGACUUACUGGACACAUAUUGACGCUGAGGUGCGAAAGCGUGGGGAGCAAACAGG